CCUACGGGGUGCAGCAGUGGGGAAUAUUGCACAAUGGGGGAAACCCUGAUGCAGCGACGCCGCGUGAGUGAAGAAGUAAUUCGUUAUGUAAAGCUCUAUCAGCAGGGAAGAAAAUGACGGUACCUGAGUAAGAAGCCCCGGCUAACUACGUGCCAGCAGCCGCGGUAAUACGUAGGGGGCAAGCGUUAUCCGGAUUUACUGGGUGGAAAGGGAGCGUAGACGGCAGUGCAAGUCUGGAGUGAAAGGCGGGGGCUCAACCCCCGGACUGCUCUGGAAACUGUACGGCUGGAGUGCAGGAGAGGUAAGUGGAAUUCCUAGUGUAGCGGUGAAAUGCGUAGAUAUGAGGAGGAACACCAGUGGCGAAGGCGGCUUACUGGACUGUAACUGACGUUGAGGCUCGAAAGCGUGGGGAGCAAACAGGAUUAGAUACCCCGGUAGUC
rnacentral:rRNA from 1 species